rnacentral:ribozyme from 1 species
UGUUGCGAAAACGUUUGGCAGGACAUUAUAGUAAAUUCGAUGCGUCCGCCAAAACAGCGUUGAAAGCGGAAAUCUUGAGUGUCUUGGC